GCAACUCGCCUACAUGAAGUCGGAAUCGCUAGUAAUCGCGGAUCAGCAUGCCGCGGUGAAUACGUUCCCGGGCCUUGUACACACCGCCCGUCACACCACGAGAGUUUGUAACACCCAAAGCCGGUGGGGUAACCUUUUGGAGCCAGCCGUCUAAGGUGGGACAGAUGAUUGGGGUGAAGUCGUAACAAGGUACC
rnacentral:rRNA from 1 species